UGGGGUGUAGCCAAGCGGUAAGGCAGCGGCCUUUGGAGCCGCCAUUCGGAGGUUCGAAUCCUCCCGCCCCAG
rnacentral:tRNA from 1 species